rnacentral:rRNA from 1 species
AUUGAACGCUGGCGGCAGGCCUAACACAUGCAAGUCGAACGAGUGGCGGACGGGUGUGUAAUGUCGGGGAAACUGCCUGAUGGAGGGGGAAAACUAGUGGAAACGGUAGCUAAUACCGCAUACCAUCGGAUGUGCCCAGAUGGGAUUAGCGAGUAGGGGGGGUAACGGCGCACCUAUGCGACGAUCCCUAGCUGGUCUGAGAGGAUGACCAGCCACAAUGGAACUGAGACACGGUCCAGACUCCUACGGUAGGCAGCAGUGGGGAAUAUUGGCAAAUGGGCGCAAGCCUGAUGCAGCCAUGCCGCGUGUAUGAAGAAGGCCUUCGGGUUGUAAAGUACUGUCAGCGGGGAGGCGUUACCCGAAGAAGAAGCACCGGCUAACUCCGUGCCAGCAGCCGCGGUAAUUC